rnacentral:rRNA from 1 species
CCUACGGGAGGCAGCAGUGAGGAAUAUUGGUCAAUGGACGCAAGUCUGAACCAGCCAUGCCGCGUGCAGGAAGACGGCUCUAUGAGUUGUAAACUGCUUUUGUACGAGGGUAAACGCAGAUACGCGUAUCUGUCUGACAGUAUCGUACGAAUCAGGCUCGGCUAACUCCGUGCCAGCAGCCGCGGUAAUACGGAGGAUUCAAGCGUUAUCCGGAUUUAUUGGGUUUAAAGGGUGCGUAGGCGGUCGGAUAAGUUAGAGGUGAAAUCCCGAGGCUCAACUUCGGAAUUGCCUCUGAUACUGUUCGGCUAGAGUGUAGUUGCGGUAGGCGGAAUGUAUGGUGUAGCGGUGAAAUGCUUAGAGAUCAUACAGAACACCGAUUGCGAAGGCAGCUUACUAAGCUACUUCUGACGUUGAGGCACGAAAGCGUGGGGAGCAAACAGGAUUAGAUACCCUAGUAGUC